GUAGGGAGCAAGCGUUGUUCGGAAUCAUUGGGCGUAAAGAGCGCGUAGGUGGUUUGAUAAGUCUGGUGUGAAAGCCCAGAGCUCAACUCUGGAACUGCAUCAGAAACUGCCAAACUUGAGUGCGGGAGAGGAGAGUGGAAUUCCCAGUGUAGAGGUGAAAUUCGUAGAUAUUGGGAGGAACACCGGUGGCGAAGGCGGCUCUCUGGACCGCAACUGACACUGAGGCGCGAAAGCUAGGGGGAGCGAACGGGAUUAGAUACCCCGGUAGUCCUAGCCGUAAACGAUGGGCACUAGGUGUGGGGGGGUUAUUGACCCCCUUCCGUGCCCGCAGCUAACGCAUUAAGUGCCCCGCCUGGGGAGUACGGUCGCAAGACUA
rnacentral:rRNA from 1 species